AUACCUUUAGCCACAACCCAGUAUUAAAGGCAACGCCUGCCCAGUGAACAAUUAAACGGCCGCGGUACCCUAACCGUGCAAAGGUAGCGUAAUCACCUGUCUAUUAAUUGUAGACCCGUAUGAAUGGCAAAAUGAGGGCCUAACUGUCUCUUAUAGUGAAUCAAUUAAACUGAUCCCCCAGUCCAAAAGCUGGGAUGCACACAUAAGACGAGAAGACCCUGUGAAGCUUAAACUAAACUAUUAAACCAAAUAAUAGCUACUUUCGGUUGGGGCGACCUUGGAAAAAAAAAGAACUUCCAAACGUGACCUACCUCACACCAAACUUCAAGGCCAACAAGCCUAACAUGACCCAGCAGAGCUGAUAAUUGAACCAAGUUACUCCAGGGAUAACAGCGCCAUCUUCUUCAAGAGUCCAUAUCAAAAAGAAGGUUUACGACCUCGAUGUUGGAUCAGGACAUCCUAAUGGUGCAACCGCUAUUAAGGGUUCGUUUGUUCAACGAUUAAUAGUCCCA
rnacentral:rRNA from 1 species